GGCUGUGAGAACAGUCGCUGUGUCCGGGUUCAGUAGGGUUACACCUGCUACUGCUUCACUGGAUACACUCUGGACCUGUGCCGCAUGGCAUACAUGGAUAAAAAAGCACAUUCAUACGUAAACCCACAAAAACAAACCUUCAUAAAUGAAACUGUGAUGAUAUUUUUCUCCAUCCGCAGACAUGAUGAGCGUUCAGAACUUAACACCCUGAUGUUGUUGUGUAAAAUGCAAAGUGCAACAACACAAUGUGUGUGUCUGCCAGGCGUCACUCCACCUGACAACUACUGUGUGGAGGCAGCAACAAACCCAACAUGGACACAAACACAGUGAGCCAGGACGGACACUAGGGGCCACAAAAGACAUGGAAACCACACACAUCAGCUUGUAUUACUAUACUUGUGAGGACAUCUGUGAUUUCUAUGUAGUCAAGUUCUCAACACUUGAAGAUGAACUGUCUGGAUUUGUCCACGUGUCCACCAGAACCACAAAAUCCCCAAAAAUGAUCUUCAGAGGAAACCAAGGAGAAAGGUUUAGAUGGGGGGUCAAUCUAAUUCUAUCAGGGGGGUCCCUUUAAAUGAUUUGAAGUACCACAAUGUUGGUUUGCCAAAUACUUGCCUUUGAAGCAAAACAGUCCAGAUUCAUGUUUGACGUCCUGAUUUUAAACCUGCUUUUACAGAUCUUCAGUUUUAUCUUUUUCUGAUAGUUUUUCACACCAGUGUUUUUCAAUGUGGAGCUUUUGUAAAGACACCUUUUCAAACUGCUAUGAAGUACUGUCAAGGUUUUGAAAGUAAAUAUUAGGUAUUGAUAUCUGCCAGUUUGAUCGUCAACACUGUAACUUGCUGUGUUUUGUAUGAUCUGAAAAACUUUAAAACUUUUUAAGAUAUGCCAAGUUGUUGAAGAUUUUGUUUCAGAUAUAUCAGUGGAGCUUGAUACUGGUCUCCUAUAUGACACAAAAAGUUUUUCAAGCAACCACAAGCUUUAUCGCUUCCUCAAACAGAAUUAAUCCAUGUUCUUGUCUUUCAAAUAUAAACCCUGAAUUAAAGAUUCAUUUUCAGGUGGUCUGUCCACAAGGGCUGUCACUUUUUAUCAGGAAGAGUUCAAACCUUCAUUUGAACUGUGGGGGUAAAGUUCAAACUCAAACUAUACUGAGAUAUCUUCAUGAUAAUAGAGUAGACCAGAGCAUCAGGCUGCCUGAAGUAGCUUCGUAGACCUAUGAUCCUGCAGAGAGCUCUCUCAUCAUAACCUGGCCAAUCCAUGCACUCUGGACCUCAGUAAACUAACACAGUGAUGUUAUUCUACAAAACUGGAGGACAUAGUCAAACAAAGCUGCACUGAGCAGACAAUCGGGACACCAGAACCAAGACCAAUCUCUGAUACAAGCCUGCUCCACAGAAAGGACCAAGACCUUAGGCAGUUACAGCAAAUAAAAGAGGCACCUAUAUUUGAGGAAUUACGGCAUUUCAAUCAGUACCAGUCAAGGUCAAGCAGUUCCCAAAAAUAUCACUGCUCACCACCUGGCAGAUAGAAAUAAAGUAAUCCCCCCAGUUUCAGAGAGUUUUCACAGUCCUUUGACACCAGAAUGGUGGACCCACCAGUCAGCACAGUGAAGCGCAGCGCAGUCUCGGGCUGACAUACUGGGGAGCACUGAAGUUUGGGAACAACAGCUUCAAAGAAGCUCAGGCCCUGUUUUCUACUGUCUGUGGUUUCAACACUAUGUGCUGUCAACAGUGUUCAGACAUUAGACUAAACCGUUGGACCUCUGGCCUUUGACCCAGCUGUUGAACUUGGAAAGCUGCUGAAUAACUUACCUUCACUUCAAUCAACUUAGACAAAAGAACUGGUUUUCUUUCCUAGCUCCACAUUUAAAGGAGUCCCUGAUGGGUCAGUCUGAACCAUGUUCAGUUUAUUUUUAUAAACAGGAUCAUAGAGUCUGAGCUGAAAAACUUUGACCUGACACUGUGGGCUAAAAGACUGUCUCAAACACAUGUGAGCCAUCUAGAGUUUCUCCAAGCACAGCUUUGUACACUUUCUCCGUGAGUGUCUUUGAAAGAACAGGCAUACAAGCACAUCCGCACACACAGACUCGCAUAUACACAGACAGGUACCUAAUCAAAGCCCAUAUAUUGUGCACUGUAUGAGAAACACACUAAAUGAAACAAACAGUCAUUUACUUGAGUUAAGAUAAAACAUCAUCCACUAUGUGAUGCCUUUAUGGGGAUAGAAACACAGAAUUGUCUAUAAAAUCCAUGUUUUGUCUGUUUGUUUCUUAUUUUUGUUCAGAGUACAGAAUAUAGAGGAAUCAUGACUAUGGUGGUCGAGAAGGGUCAAAGAUCUGCAGCUGAAUGAUCUUCAUAAGGAAAAAAGUGUUGCAAUUGUGAUUUUUUUCAUUUUUGGUUCAUAGUUCUAUUGAACUUAUCUAACACAGCCAUUGCUGGAGGUCUGCAGUCCUUCAAUUGCAGCAGUAUAUUUACUUUAACAUAAAAAGUGCUGAAAAGUCUCUUUGUCUGUGUACUUCAAAAUUGUGCAUCUUGUGCUUACCCC
rnacentral:lncRNA from 1 species